AGGGUUUGAUUAUGGCUCAGAUUGAACGCUGGCGGCAGGCCUAACACAUGCAAGUCGAGCGGUAGAGAGGUGCUUGCACCUCUUGAGAGCGGCGGACGGGUGAGUAAUGCCUAGGAAUCUGCCUGGUAGUGGGGGAUAACGCUCGGAAACGGACGCUAAUACCGCAUACGUCCUACGGGAGAAAGCAGGGGACCUUCGGGCCUUGCGCUAUCAGAUGAGCCUAGGUCGGAUUAGCUAGUUGGUGGGGUAAUGGCUCACCAAGGCGACGAUCCGUAACUGGUCUGAGAGGAUGAUCAGUCACACUGGAACUGAGACACGGUCCAGACUCCUACGGGAGGCAGCAGUGGGGAAUAUUGGACAAUGGGCGAAAGCCUGAUCCAGCCAUGCCGCGUGUGUGAAGAAGGUCUUCGGAUUGUAAAGCACUUUAAGUUGGGAGGAAGGGCAUUAACCUAAUACGUUAGUGUUUUGACGUUACCGACAGAAUAAGCACCGGCUAACUCUGUGCCAGCAGCCGCGGUAAUACAGAGGGUGCAAGCGUUAAUCGGAAUUACUGGGCGUAAAGCGCGCGUAGGUGGUUCGUUAAGUUGGAUGUGAAAUCCCCGGGCUCAACCUGGGAACUGCAUUCAAAACUGUCGAGCUAGAGUAUGGUAGAGGGUGGUGGAAUUUCCUGUGUAGCGGUGAAAUGCGUAGAUAUAGGAAGGAACACCAGUGGCGAAGGCGACCACCUGGACUGAUACUGACACUGAGGUGCGAAAGCGUGGGGAGCAAACAGGAUUAGAUACCCUGGUAGUCCACGCCGUAAACGAUGUCAACUAGCCGUUGGGAGCCUUGAGCUCUUAGUGGCGCAGCUAACGCAUUAAGUUGACCGCCUGGGGAGUACGGCCGCAAGGUUAAAACUCAAAUGAAUUGACGGGGGCCCGCACAAGCGGUGGAGCAUGUGGUUUAAUUCG
rnacentral:rRNA from 1 species